rnacentral:rRNA from 1 species
UACGUAGGGGCCUAGCGUUGUCCGGAUUUAUUGGGCGUAAAGAGCUCGUAGGCGGUUUGGUGAGUCGGGGGUGAAAUCUCCACGCUCAACGUGGAGGGGCCACCCGAUACUGCCAUGACUAGAGUCCGGUAGGGGAGUGUGGAAUUCCCGGUGUAGCGGUGAAAUGCGCAGAGAUCGGGAGGAACAUCCGUGGCGAAGGCGACUACCUGGACCAGCACUGACACUGAGGCACGAAAGCGUGGGGAGCAAACAGG